GAUGAACGCUGGCGGCGUGCCUAAUACAUGCAAGUCGAGCGAACAGACGAGGAGCUUGCUCCUCUGACGUUAGCGGCGGACGGGUGAGUAACACGUGGAUAACCUACCUAUAAGACUGGGAUAACUUCGGGAAACCGGAGCUAAUACCGGAUAAUAUAUUGAACCGCAUGGUUCAAUAGUGAAAGACGGUUUUGCUGUCACUUAUAGAUGGAUCCGCGCCGCAUUAGCUAGUUGGUAAGGUAACGGCUUACCAAGGCGACGAUGCGUAGCCGACCUGAGAGGGUGAUCGGCCACACUGGAGCUGGGACACGGUCCAGGCUCCUACGGGAGGCAGCAGUAGGGAAUCUUCCGCAAUGGGCGAAAGCCUGACGGAGCAACGCCGCGUGAGUGAUGAAGGUCUUCGGAUCGUAAAACUCUGUUAUUAGGGAAGAACAAAUGUGUAAGUAACUAUGCACGUCUUGACGGUACCUAAUCAGAAAGCCACGGCUAACUACGUG
rnacentral:rRNA from 1 species